AUUUAAAUAGUUUAAAUUUAAAACAUUGAUUUGUGGAAUCAAAAUUAUAUAAAAUUUAUAUUUUAAAUA
rnacentral:tRNA from 1 species